rnacentral:rRNA from 1 species
GGAAAAGAAACUAACCAGGAUUCCCUUAGUAACGGCGAGUGAACAGGGAAAAGCCCAGCACCGAAGCCUGUGGUCGUUUGGCCCCUAGGCAAUGUGGUGUUCAGGUUAGCUCGCGAAGAUGCUGCUCCACCCUAAGUCCUAUAAUGAGUAAGGUUACUCGGACAUGGCCCAAUGAGGGUGAAAGGCCCGUGGGGGUGGAGAUUCAGAAUGGCCAGUAUCUUCCUGAGCAAACCUUGGAGUCGGGUUGUUUGUGAAUGCAG